GACGAACGCUGGCGGCGUGCUUAACACAUGCAAGUCGAACGAAAAGGCCCUGCUUUUGUGGGGUGCUCGAGUGGCGAACGGGUGAGUAACACGUGAGUAACCUGCCCUUGACUUUGGGAUAACUUCAGGAAACUGGGGCUAAUACCGGAUAGGAGCUCCUGCUGCAUGGUGGGGGUUGGAAAGUUUCGGCGGUUGGGGAUGGACUCGCGGCUUAUCAGCUUGUUGGUGGGGUAGUGGCUUACCAAGGCUUUGACGGGUAGCCGGCCUGAGAGGGUGACCGGCCACAUUGGGACUGAGAUACGGCCCAGACUCCUACGGGAGGCAGCAGUGGGGAAUAUUGCACAAUGGGCGGAAGCCUGAUGCAGCAACGCCGCGUGCGGGAUGACGGCCUUCGGGUUGUAAACCGCUUUCGCCUGUGACGAAGCGUGAGUGACGGUAAUGGGUAAAGAAGCGCCGGCUAACUACGUG
rnacentral:rRNA from 1 species